AAUCUGGGGUGGGAAAUUGUUUUGGGGUGGGAUACGGUUGGGUUGGGAAUUUGGGGUGGGAAAUUCUUUCAGGGUGGGAUCUUGUUGGGGUGGGAAUCUUGGGUGGGAAGUGGCUUUCGGGUGGGCUUCUGUCGGGGUGGGAAUUUUCUGGAAUCUUGCAUGGAAAUGUUGGGGGUGGGAUACUUUUAAGGUGGGAAAUUCUGGGUGGGAUUUUCGGGAUCAGACAUGAGUGUUAGGAUGGGGGAUAUUAGGUUGGGAAUAUUAGCAUACAAAACAAUGAGUAAGAGAAAUGACAAGUGAUUAAACGCUUUGUGUUCCCUUUGCUACACCUCUGCCUGCAGUCAUUUGUGCAGUGUCACAGCCCCCCAGCUCCCCAUGCCCACCUCCAGGGCAGGAUGGGGCAACACACAUGGCAGCAUCCCUCAGCUGCCACCACCAGCUGCAGCGGGAUGCAGAGGGCGUUGAAGACAGCUCGCCUGCGCUGCCUGUGCCGGUACUGUGAAUUGCUGUGGGGGUGGGCACCAGGCAGGGCACGGGAGGAUGGAGGGGGAAUCGCCUCAGGUCACUGUGGCCAGAAGGGACUCCAGGAGUGGCAGCAUGGGCAGUUCCCAUGGAGGGGGGAAGCAGGGGCAGCUGGGCCAGCUGGGCAGAUAUACAGAUACACCUAUAGAUACCUCACAUUCUGCCUCCACGUUCUUGGGUCCUGAGAGUUUGCUCUUCAGACACGGACUCAGCCAAGCCUGUACGUUCAGAGCAGGAUUUUCCAGUCCAUGGCACCUCCAUCCCAGGAUGUGCUCCAUCACGUACUUCUAGGACACGCACGUCUGGUGCUGCACAAAGGCCCCUGAAACUCAAGGCAGCCUGCCUGGCUUGGACUGCUCCCACGCGCCCCAGCACUGCCUCUAAAAUCUCACGGAACACAGACAGAUCUCUCAGACUCUGCCUGCAACCCAACAGCACAGACUGCGUCCCCUGUCUCGCUUUAUGCUGCCCUGUCAGAGGACAAAGAGCUGAGGGCACGGGCAGUGACAGGAGACACACAGAGCCUUCACACCAUGGCGCGCUGCCUGCCUUUCAUCAGCCACUCCCAGACCUUGCAGGAAGACAUCCCCUUGCCUGGACACAGGCCAGCCCAAAUUAAACUCUUUCUCCUCACUUUUCUCCUAACAGCCUAACUACAUCAAGGACACCUUAUCGAGACUAAUUGAUCUAAUCUAAGCUCCAGCCCUUAAGCCUUUUGCCAGAACCAGAAGGAGACAUUCCGCAGGGAAGCUACUCACUCCAGUGUCGCAGCUGUGUAUUAUUUGUGGGAUGACCUAGAGCCUCCUUCCCCAGAGCUGCAGCCUAGAAAUGGCUCACAUGCUUGCAGA
rnacentral:lncRNA from 1 species